AGAGAAAAGGACUGACAACUAGAUCAAGUUUUGGCACUAAUUUCUUACAAAACAUAUCAGUUUCCACACUUUAUGGCAUUGACGAGAAACGGAAAAAGAUACACUGCAUAUCACUUUGCAGCAUACACGAUUGGUCAUAUCAUGAAGCUACAGAUUCGUGCAUGAGGUAUACCUUCAGCAUUCCAAUGAAGAUGAGAAGAAAAGUCGGGGGUGUUGCUUGUGCUGUUGCUUGUCAGGUGCUUGUUCACAAGGCCGGUAUUUUUGGUUUGGCAUUUCGCGGCCGCAAAUGUCAGAUUAGAAAUACUGUGCUAAACAUACGUGAAAUUUGCAAAGCAUCUCAUAGAUUAGAUCAGAGAUUUUUCAAAAAUUCCAGUCAAAGUGCAACUGCCUUUAACAAUGUAUAUUUGAAUCAACUGCCAUUUAAACUUAAUGCAUAUUAUAAUUCAUACUAUUGUUAUAAAGACCUUGUUUUAAUUCCAAAAUAUUCAAAAGAUAUUGUAUGUAAAGGUAACAAACUAGUUAUUGUCGACGAAUGUUGCCAGCGGAUAUGUUGUCUAGGGAAUUACAUAGUGAUUGUUCUACAGCAUGGCAGAAUAGUUUACUGUUAUGGUAACUUUCUUGUACUUUGUAGUUUAAAUUGUAUUAAAACAAUCCUCAAAAAUAA